UCCCUGGUGGUCCAGUGGCUAGGACUCCAGUGCUCCCAAUGUAGGGGGCCCGGGUUCAAUCCCUGGUCAGGGAA
rnacentral:tRNA from 1 species